CCCGUUCCGAGUCCGGAGUGAUGGUAGGGCACAGCCUGCCCCCUCCUGCAGCGGAGCAGGCAGAGCGCACGUAGGCAGUCAAUUAAGGAGACCUUGGAGCCAGGCGCAGAGCAUCUGCUUAGAGGUCUGGGCUAACCGCCCUGCGAUGUUUUCCAGAGCUACCCGGAGUCUGGUAAUGAAGACAGGAGGACUCAGAACUCAAGGGACACACAGCCCAGGAAGUGCUGCUAGCAGCAGCCAGCGGAGGAUGACCCCCUAUGUUGACUGCUAUGCUCAGCGCUCCUAUCCCAUGCCGGAUGAGCCUUACUGCACAGAGCUCAGCGAGGAGCAGCGGGCCCUGAAGGAGAAAGAGAAGGG
rnacentral:lncRNA from 1 species